rnacentral:tRNA from 1 species
GGAGAGGUGGCUGAGUGGUCUAUGGCAGCGGUCUUGAAAACCGCCGUACCGCAAGGUACCGAGGGUUCGAAUCCCUCCCUCUCCGCCA